UAGCAAUAUUCUGAAGUGGGAGUGGCGCAAGGGUGCGUAACACGUGGGUAAUCUGCCAUGAAGUUUGGGAUAACUCGCUGAAAGGCGAGCUAAUACCGGAUGUGAAAAUUGGAAGGCAUCUUUUGAUUUUCAAAGCUGGGGACCGUAAGGCCUGGCGCUUCAUGAUGAACCCGCGGCCUAUCAGCUAGUUGGUGAGGUAACGGCCCACCAAGGCUAAGACGGGUAGCUGGUCUGAGAGGACGACCAGCCACACUGGAACUGAGACACGGUCCAGACACCUACGGGUGGCAGCAGUCGAGAAUUUUUCACAAUGGGCGAAAGCCUGAUGGAGCGACGCCGCGUGGGGGAUGAAUGGCUUCGGCCCGUAAACCCCUGUCAUUUGCGAUCAACCGUUAUUAUUUAAAAGAUGAUGACCUGAUAGUAGCGAAAGAGGAAGGGACGGCUAACUCUGUGCCAGCAGCCGCGGUAAUACAGAGGUCCCAAGCGUUGUUCGGAUUCACUGGGCGUAAAGGGUGCGUAGGUGGCGGGGUAAGUCGGAUGUGAAAUCUCCGAGCUCAACUCGGAAAUGGCAUUGGAAACUACCUUGCUCGAGGGUUGGAGGGGGGACUGGAAUUCUCGGUGUAGCA
rnacentral:rRNA from 1 species